rnacentral:ncRNA from 1 species
AACUCAUCGAGACCGACCGAGGGACAGGCCCUUUGACGUCGGGGCAACCAGCUGCAUUCGCCGAGGCAGGCGUUUCAGCCAGGUGCCAAAUCCUGCGGAGCACGGAUCAUGAUCCGGCGACCGAGAGAUGAGCG